UACUAAAUGCAUGGUUCUGAGACUUGGACUCUAAACAAUGACCUAAGUUGACAACUAGAUGUCUUUGAUACCAGGUCUCUUCUGAGGAUCCUUUGGUCCUGCUG